GCCGCUAUGGUGAAAUUGGUAGACACGCUGCU
rnacentral:tRNA from 1 species